ACGAUAUAGGAACAUUUCACGCAGUAUAUGUAGUAUUGAUGCUUGAAAACAGCGAGCAGCAAUUGCUGAAUGAAACAAUUGUAAAAAGAUGCUUACGCAAGAAUCCUCUUAAUGCCCACCGGUUCGAUUUUGGUGUGAACGAGGAACCGUACAUAGCUUUCUACUAAAGCCGGCGCAGGUAUGGAACUUUUUGAUUGAGGCUGUAAAAACAAAUAAAAUGAAUUUAGCUGCUUGGUUCCAAACAAAAAAUUUGACCUGCAUUACCUGUGGAUCAGCGACAUUUUACUGUGCACAGUUAAACUAUCCAAAACAGCCAUAAAGAACGGCGGUUGCCCCACAGCUGCAGUUUUAUCGUUGCCAUUUAACGCCUCGCUAAGUAUAUUCAUUGAUUCUGGAAAGUACUACACAUUGAUUUGUUAAAAAUGCAUUACAUAUAUGUAUAAUGCGUAAAUUGUUGCCCAUGCUUAUGGACAUCAUUGUUUUGUGAAGAGCAAGAUGCUGAAGAAAGCUGUUGACAAAUAAAGGAGUUAGUUGACGUGCACUGAACAAGUCUAGAAAA